rnacentral:tRNA from 2 species
GUUGUCGUGGCCGAGUGGUUAAGGCGAUGGACUAGAAAUAUAUGGGGAUCUCCCCGCACAGGUUCGAAUCCUGUCGACUGCG